rnacentral:rRNA from 1 species
UGGCGGCAGGCCUAACACAUGCAAGUCGAACGGUAACAGGAAGCAGCUUGCUUCUUCGCUGACGAGUGGCGGACGGGUGAGUAAUGUCUGGGAAACUGCCUGAUGGAGGGGGAUAACUACUGGAAACGGUAGCUAAUACCGCAUAACGUCGCAAGACCAAAGAGGGGGACCUUCGGGCCUCUUGCCAUCAGAUGUGCCCAGAUGGGAUUAGCUAGUAGGUGGGGUAACGGCUCACCUAGGCGACGAUCCCUAGCUGGUCUGAGAGGAUGACCAGCCACACUGGAACUGAGACACGGUCCAGACUCCUACGGGAGGCAGCAGUGGGGAAUAUUGCACAAUGGGCGCAAGCCUGAUGCAGCCAUGCCGCGUGUAUGAAGAAGGCCUUCGGGUUGUAAAGUACUUUCAGCGGGGAGGAAGGCGAUGUGGUUAAUAACCACGUCGAUUGACGUUACCCGCAGAAGAAGCACCGGCUAACUCCGUGCCAGCAGCCGCGG